rnacentral:tRNA from 1 species
CACUUUAUAUCUAGCGGUUAGGAUUCCUGGUUUUCACCCAGGUGGCCCGCGUUCGACUCCCGGUAUGGGAA